rnacentral:lncRNA from 1 species
UUUCAGCAUUUAGCUAUUUCAAAUAUUAGACUCUCCUUCCUGUAAAUAGGUCUUGUGUGUGCUCUUCUUACUUCUUGCAUGACUGAUGGUCAUGUAAAUAGCAGUGGUCCUGAAACAGAUCUUGUUUUAGACUCUUACCAGAAACAACUGCAGACAUAUCAUCAGCCUUUGCGAUAUAAAAGCCGUGAAAGAGGGUAAAGGAGAAAGAGAGGAAGAGAUGUAAAGGUAAAAAGAAGGGAGAAAAAAAGCAAAGGAAGAAAAUAGAAAAAGAGAGUGCACUUCACUUUCUUGUUAUUCUUCAGAGUACUGAGGUGUUUUGUCAAGUAAGGCAAAGGCUGCUGAUUUACAACUCAGAGCUAUUUUUAUUUUUUUUUCUCUUCUCCAGAGACUACACAUACAAUUUUCCUAUGGAGUGCGUUCUCCUUGAUUUCUUCUCAAAUCCUGGUUGCUCCAAGAAGUCACAGUCCUGGAUCUUUUCUGAACGAAAGAAACCACAAGACAACCUCAACUCUUCUCAGAACACGCUACAGUGUCUAAAUGAGAACAAAUGUCAAGGGUUUCCAGUUAGAUCACCGCACUGUAGACCAGCAGUAUAUCUACCAAACAAAGAUAUAAAGGGAGAAGUACCAAAUAAACGCCAGGAGGUGUGACAGGAUCAGCUAAACAUCUUUAAAUAGCCUUUACAUUGUUCUUCUACCCAUCGCAGAGAGAUGCCAUUUUAAGGCCAGAAGGGAACAUGCUGAUAAUUUAGUUUUAUAUCUUGCUGAAAUCCUUCCUUUCUGCUCGUCUUCAGUUGGCUCGCAUUCCCUCCUCCCUGCAUGUCUCUCCUUUGAGUACUCAUUGACUUGGAAGACACACCCAAGAUUAGUUAAUCACCACCUCACUCCACCGACACUCCAUUAUUCAAGCAAACCACACACACCCCCAGCUUCAGACUUAGUGGAAAGUCUUACUGAGGUGGCCAUGGCCACACACGGGCCCUGAGCACUUGUACAAUAACACCUCUGUGCUCAUAUUUUUUGUUAUCGUGGGGGGUUAUGUUGGCUGGAGAAACCAACCACCACCUUCCUUUACGGGACAUUGUUUGCUGUUGUUUCUCACUUAGAAGAGCUCAUGAUUGACAUUGCAAAAGGAAUUAUCACAAGCAACUAUUCCUCAUGGCAUCUUCCCAAGGAAAAGUCAGUCAGCAUUGUUCAAGUAACUCAUUAUUUGCAUUGCAAUUGGACCUAAAGGCCUUAACCAGGAGGAGGGUCCCCUUUUGUUAGGUAUUGUAGAAAUGUCACAGAAGUCAUGGAUAUUUAAAAUUACAGAGCUGUUUAAACUUUUAUAAUCACAAAUGUUUAAAACUGAAGAGCCAACAGAAGUUUAGAAACUGCUUCUAGAUCCAAACCUGUGGUUCAUGGUACCAAACCCAACAUCUUGUCUGCCUUAUCUUCCUCUCUCAUUGAGGUAAGUAUACAUGUGUGCAUGUUGGUAUGUGUGAGCUGUGAAGAAAUAAAAUAUGCAAAG